rnacentral:rRNA from 1 species
CCUACGGGUGGCUGCAGUGGGGAAUCUUGGACAAUGGGCGCAAGCCUGAUCCAGCCAUGCCGCGUGAGUGAAGAAGGCCUUAGGGUUGUAAAGCUCUUUUGCCAGGGACGAUAAUGACGGUACCUGGAGAAUAAGCCCCGGCAAACUUCGUGCCAGCAGCCGCGGUAAUACGAAGGGGGCUAGCGUUGUUCGGAAUUACUGGGCGUAAAGCGCACGUAGGCGGGUUGUUAAGUCAGGGGUGAAAUCCCGGAGCUCAACUCCGGAACUGCCUUUGAUACUGGCAACCUAGAGACUGGAAGAGGUUAGUGGAAUUCCCAGUGUAGAGGUGAAAUUCGUAGAUAUUGGGAAGAACACCAGUGGCGAAGGCGGCUAACUGGUCCAGUACUGACGCUGAGGUGCGAAAGCGUGGGGAGCAAACAGGAUUAGAUACCCGUGUAGUC